rnacentral:lncRNA from 1 species
AUGAGGAGAAAAAUAUCCACCAGUAGCAGUCAUUUAGUUCAGAAUUCAGCCUCUGUGCUGGGUCCCCAGUUGCCAGAUGGAAGCAAUCAUCCAACAGUUUGCCAAAGAGGAAGGGAUACUGCUCAGUUCAAGCAGGUGCAUGGUCAGGAAGCUGCCUUCUGGUGGUUCAUUUAUUCAUCAUUUCCCUACAUAUUCCUGAGCACCUUCAACGGAACAGACAUUACACCAAGUGCUGGACAUACAAAGAUAAAUAAUGCAUGUGUGCUGCUUCCAGCAGCUCGUUGCCUUCUCAGAGAUCUCGCUGCAGGUUAGCAAAUGUGAUGACCAGCUGACAGGUAUUCUGGGCCCUGUGGCAAUGAUUUUCUACAUUGUGUUUUAACAAAAUAAAG